UGGGUAUAAUCCUACUAUAUUAUUUGGGAAGUACAUUUUAAAUGUAACCUUAAUUUUUAUAAUUAAU
rnacentral:sRNA from 1 species